rnacentral:tRNA from 1 species
GCGAGGGUAGCAAAGUGGUCAAAUGCGCAGGACUUAAGAUCCUGUGGCUUAGUGCCUUCGGAGGUUCAAAUCCUCCCUCUCGCA